AUGGAUGAUGCCGUGGAGCUAUCAUGGGGGGCGCGGUGCUUGGGGCUGGCCUUCUUCAGCCUGUCCAUCUUCUCGGUGGCGCUCGGCGCGGUGCUCCUGCUCGUCCGCCGGUGGCCCAACCCCUGGUGCGGCUGUCACGUGUGCCGGGCUUACCUCACGGGGUCGUGGGCCAAGGAGUUCACCAACCUCGCUGACUGGUACGCGCACCUGCUGCGCGAGUCGCCGACGGGCACCGUCCAGGUCCACGUCCUCGGCUGCACCGUCACCGCCAACCCGGCCAACGUCGAGUACAUGCUCAAGACCCGCUUCGACAACUUCCCCAAGGGCAGGCGCUUCGCCGCGCUCCUCGGCGAUCUCCUCGGCGGUGGCAUCUUCAACGUCGACGGCGACGCCUGGCGCCACCAGCGCAAGAUGGCCAGCCUCGAGCUCGGCAGCGUCACCGUGCGCUCCUACGCCUACAAGAUCGUCGCCCAGGAGGUGGAGACGCGCCUCCUGCCGGUCCUGGCUGACGCCGCCGACAAGGGCAAGGUUGUCGACCUCCAGGACGUGUUCCGGCGGUUCGCCUUCGACACCGUCUGCAAGAUCUCCUUCGGGCUGGACCCGGGCUGCCUCGACCUCGACAUGCCCAUGUCGGACCUAGCCAACGCGUUCGACGCCGCCUCGCGGUUCUGCGCCAUGCGGGGCGCCGCGGCCUCGCCGUUGGUGUGGAAGAUGAAGCGGAUGCUCAACAUUGGGUCCGAGAGGGAGCUUAAGAAGGCCAUCAAGCUCGUCGACGACCUCGCGUCGGCCAUGAUUCUGCAGCGGCGGAGUCUGGGUUUUGACAACAGCCACGACCUCCUGUCCCGCUUCAUGGCCUCGGACGUCGCCAUGGACGACAAGUAUCUCCGCGACAUCGUCGUCAGCUUCCUUCUCGCCGGGCGGGAUACGGUCGCCUCCGCGCUUACCACGCUCUUCAUCCACCUGCACAAGAACCCUGAAGUCGCGGCUGCCAUUCGCGCGGAGGCCGGCGGCGAGAAGCCGUCCACCUAUGAGCAUCUGAUGAGCCUGCAUUAUACCCACGCAGUGCUGUUCGAGAACAUGCGGUUGUUCCCGCCGGUGCAGUUCGACUCCAAGUUCUGCGCCGCCGCCGACGUGCUCCCGGACGGCACCUACGUGGACGGCGAGUCACGCGUGAUGUACCACCCGUACGCCAUGGGACGCAUGCCGAGCAUCUGGGGAGCCGACUACGAGAAGUUCCGCCCCGACCGGUGGCUCACCGGACCCGGCGGUUCGUUCGCGCUGGUGAACCUGUACAAGUACCCGGUGUUCCAGGCCGGCCUCCGCGUGUGCCUCGGCAAGGAGCUCGCCAUAACUGAGAUGAAGGCGGUCGGCGUGGCCGUGGUGAAGGCGUUCGACGUGGACGUGGUCGGAGAGAACGGCCGUAGGGGCUGGGCGCCGACGUUUGUGCCGGGGCUCACGGCGUCCAUCAGCGGCGGGCUCCCAGUGAGGAUCAAGCGCGCUUCGAUGCAGACCGCAGAGUAG
rnacentral:rRNA from 1 species